GACCACGCUGUUCAUGGAGGGAGCCCAGCUGCUGGGUGCAGAGGAGGAGCGGCUUUGUUCCAUUGUUUUUGGACAUCACAAGGGCCUCAUCUCCUGGAACUCCUUCACACCAUCCUGCGGCUCUUCAGGGAAUAAUGCUGACAUCUCGAAGAACUUAAAGACACUGUUACGUGUGUCCACUGAGGCGGAACUAGGACGCUGCCCCAAGCUGCACUCUCGUUUCCCUUACGGGAAAGAAUACGACCAGGACUCGUGGAAAGGGGUCAACAGGGUCAAUGACCCUCCAGGUGGCUCACUGGUAAAGAACCCACCUGCCAAUGCGAGAGACGUAAUGGAUGCAAGUUCAAUCCCUGGGUCAGGAAGAUACCUUGGAGAAUGAAAUGGCAAC
ensembl:lncRNA